GACGAACGCUGGCGGCGUGCUUAACACAUGCAAGUCGAACGGGUCUGCCCUGUUUUUUGCGGGGUGGGUCAGUGGCGAACGGGUGAGUAACACGUGAGUAACCUGCCCCUCACUUCUGGAUAACCGCUUGAAAGGGUGGCUAAUACGGGGUGUUCUGGCUGUGCCGCAUGGUGUGGCUGGGAAAGAUUCACUUUUGUGGUGUUUUGGUGGGGGAUGGGCUCGCGGCCUAUCAGCUUGUUGGUGGGGUGAUGGCCUGCCAAGGCUUUGACGGGUAGCCGGCCUGGGAGGGUGGGCGGUCAAGCUGGGACUGCGGUACGGCCCAGACUCCGGCGGGAGGCAGCAGUGGGGGGUAUUGCACAAUGGGCGGAAGCCUGAUGCAGCGACGUCGCGGGAGGGAUGGAGGCCGUCGGGUUGUGAACCUCUUUCGCCGGUGAAGAAGGUCCUGCUCUUUGUGGUGGGGUUGACGGUAGCCGGGUUAUGAAGCGCCGGCUAACUACGUG
rnacentral:rRNA from 1 species